CGAAGUAACCUUACCAGGUCUUGACAUCCCGAUGCUAUUUCUAGAGAUAGAAAGUUACUUCGGUACAUCGGUGACAGGUGGUGCAUGGUUGUCGUCAGCUCGUGUCGUGAGAUGUUGGGUUAAGUCCCGCAACGAGCGCAACCCCUAUUGUUAGUUGCCAUCAUUCAGUUGGGCACUCUAGCGAGACUGCCGGUAAUAAACCGGAGGAAGUGGGAUGACGUCAAAUCAUCAUGCCCCUUAUGACCUGGGCUACACACGUGCUACAAUGGUUGGUACAACGAGUUGCGAGUCGGUGACGGCGAGCUAAUCUCUUAAAGCCAAUCUCAGUUCGGAUUGUAGGCUGCAACUCGCCUACAUGAAGUCGGAAUCGCUAGUAAUCGCGGAUCAGCACGCCGCGGUGAAUACGUUCCCGGGCCUU
rnacentral:rRNA from 1 species